AAUCCAUGAUGUGGAUAUUUUCGUAACAAAUCUGUAAACCUUUUCCAAAGUUCAUACAAUGAUUCACCCUUUUGUUGGUUAAAACUAGUUAUGUCCAUUCUAAAUUU